GCUUAAACAUACAAGUCGAACGGUUCUACCUCGUACAGAAAGCCUUCGGGCGGAAGACGAGACUAGAUAGUGGCGGACGGGUGAGUAACACGUGAAUAAUCUGUCCUCAAGUCUGGGAUAACCUGGCGAAAGUCGGGCUAAUCCGAGGUAAGCUGAGAGUGUGGCACCACACAAUCAGAAAAGGUGGCUUUGCCAUCGUUUGAGGAGGAGUUCGCGGUAGAUUAGCUAGCUGGUGAGGUAAUGGCUCACCAGGGCAACAAUCUAUAGCUGGUCUGAGAGGACGAUCAGUCACACUGGAACUGAGACACGGUCCAGACUUCUACGGGAGGCAGCAGUGGGGAAUCUUCCACAAUGGGCGAAAGCCUGAUGGAGCAACGCCGCGUGAGUGAAGAAGGUCUUAGGAUUGUAAAGCUCUGUCCUUAGGGAAGAACCGUGGGUAUAGUAAAUGCUACCCACCUGACGGUACCUUUGGAGGAAGCACUGGCUAACUACGUGCCAGCAGCCGCGGUAAUACGUAGAGUGCAAGCGUUGUCCGGAAUUAUUGGGCGUAAAGGGUACGCAGGCGGAUAAUCAAGUCAAGCGUGAAAGGUGUCGGCUUAACCGACAGACUGCGUUUGAAACUGGUUAUCUUGAGUGUAACAGAGGAGAGUGGAAUUCCUAGUGUAGUGGUGAAAUACGUAGAUAUUAGGAAGAACACCAGUGGCGAAGGCGACUCUCUGGGUUAACACUGACGCUGAGGUACGA
rnacentral:rRNA from 1 species